GACGAACGCUGGCGGCGUGCUUAACACAUGCAAGUCGAACGAUGAACCGCUUUCGGGCGGGGAUUAGUGGCGAACGGGCGAGUAACACGUGGGCAAUCUGCCCUGCACUCUGGGACCAGACCUGGAAACGGGGUCUAAUACCGGAUAUGACUGUCCAUCGCAUGGUGGAGGGUGUAAAGCUCCGGCGGUGCAGGAUGAGCACGCGGCCUAUCAGCUUGUUGGUGAGGUAGUGGCUCACCAAGGCGACGACGGGUAGCCGGCCUGAGAGGGCGACCGGCCACACUGGGACUGAGACACGGCCCAGACUCCUACGGGAGGCAGCAGUGGGGAAUAUUGCACAAUGGGCGAAAGCCUGAUGCAGCGACGCCGCGUGAGGGAUGACGGCCUUCGGGUUGUAAACCUCUUUCAGCAGGGAAGAAGCGAAAGUGACGGUACCUGCAGAAGAAGCGCCGGCUAACUCCGUGCCAGCAGCCGCGGUAAAAC
rnacentral:rRNA from 1 species